CCCGCGAAGGAAAGAACCAAGGAGUAGCGUAGGAAGAGAGAGAGAAGGAGGGGGAGAAGGAGAGAGAGACAGAGAUGUGAUUAAGCUCAGGCUCUUGAGGCGGGAAGAGCAGCCGGGACAAUCCAGGCGAGUCCACUGUCAUCGCAGGGUCCUUGUAAGAGGGAGGCGGGAGGGUCAGAGUCAGAGAAGGAGAUGUGAGGGCAGGAGCAGAGUCAGAGAGGGAUUGGACGCUGCUGGGCUGCUGGCUUUCAAGAUGGAAGAAGGGGCCACAAGCCAAGGAAUGCGGAUGUCCCCCAGAAGCUGGAAAAGGCAAGGAAACGGACGCUCCUUCCAGAAAUGAACCAGCCCUGCCGACACCUUGACGUUAGCCCAGUGAGACCUGGGUCAGACCUCCAGACUGUAAGAGAACGAAUUUGUGUUGUUUGAGGCCACCACGUUUGUGGUCAUUUGUUGCAGCAGCCACAGGACACUAGUACAGGACCUUAAAUGCCUUCUGCUCCAAUCCAUUCCUUGAAUGACAAGCAACUAUAAAAGGGAAAUGAGGUAAUAUGACAAGGCGGCAAGACGACAUACACUAGGCACCAAAUCAAAUGUGCAAACAGGAAGCACACCGACAGUUGAGAAGGCUUCUAACUCCUGGCGGGAGUCCAGCAAGACACUCCUCAGGCUGCUGGAACAGGACAAUCUGGAAAAAGGCUGUCCCAGCCCCUAACGACAGGAGUGGUUCAUCCAAGACCCCACCUUGUGUCAAUGACCCAACAGCCUCCCGAGACAAGAUAAAGACUGGAGAGAGCCAAGCACCCAAGGAUAACUGUCCUAGGGUUACAGAAGUCACCCUCCGUGCCUCUGGGAAUAUUUCAUAACAGGUUCCAUGGGGCGCCCCCCACGAGGAGCUCAGCACACAGUGAACAGUUAGGACAGAACUUGACUCAGCCAUAAAAGACUCUGAGUUCCUACGAGCUCCGAGCCGGGCCCUAGACAGACCCAGGACACAAAGAAGAAGAAGGCAGUGCGUGCUCUCACGCUGCUCACCGUCCAGAUUAAACAGGAUACAACGCUACCGUGUAGCAUACGGAAUACGUGGCUUCCAGAGUUUUAGACGCACAGAUGGGAAAUAGUUUAUGGUUUGCCCACUGCAUUUUCAGAGCCACGUGUCUCAAUGUGCCACUGCCCGUGUGGCUGGGUUAUGGAGUGUCCCCUCCUCCCCCACGUCUUCUCUGUCCCUACAGGAGUCAGGACACCUGACGUCAGGCUCAAGGGAGGGCGCCGGUGUCUCUCCACUUAGAAACAUUAGCAAAGUUCAUUUCUUUCUUAGGCAAAUGGAAACAUAAACGGGGUCUAAUCUUUUCUUCCCUGACCCUACUGGAUCACCUGAGCCCCUCAGGGAGAGCUGCCUUAGCAUCCCCCCAUCCUGGGACACUAUGGAGGAAGGGUAUGGGCAGUGGCUGCACACCGGGGUCAUCAGGGACUCGACGCUGCUCAGCACAGUCAUGAGAGGAGGGGUGGACACACGACCUCUCUCCCUGAUGCUCGUCAGAGCCAGCAGCCUGUUGGUCAAUUAAGGAGACUCCUGGAAAAUCUGUGGGAUUCUAGAAAGUCCCGUGGGAUGUCAGAACAGCAUGCUGUCAUAGAAAAGAACAAAAUCAGGAGUCCUGGGCCCAAGCUCUGCCUCCAGCAGGAGUGGGCCACAUCAUGCGGGUAGAUUGUUACAAUAACGACCACCCACGCCCGUGAACCACGCUGCCCAUAUUCUCCCACCUUGGUCAUGUGGCUUUGCUGCUCCUCCCAUCAAGAAGCAGAGUCGGUUGACUCCUCCUUGCCUCUGGACAGAAUGGAGCAGGAGUGACUUGCAACUUCCAAGGUGAGGCAGCUCCUACUUUGGCCCUCUUGGAGCCCUCUCACCAGGGUUGCGGACCCAGGAUGAAAGGCCACCCAGCUGGGUGGACCGCUGCACUAAAGAGCCAGGGGAGAUCGACUGAAGAGCCAGCCGGUCCACCCUCGGAAUCGUGAGGAACGAUCAGCCUUCGCUGUUUUAAGCCGCUGAGUCAGGGCAGCAACGCUGUCUGAUACAUCCCUCUAGUCCAUUUAUUCCUCUUGGGUGCAUCUGUUUCCUCGUCUAAAGCACGAGUGUGGACUAGACAGUCUGGGGCCCUAACACUCUGAAGCCACAUUAAUAAAUAAAGCAGUGGUGAGGGGGCCGGGCCCCCGAGAGCGACACUGCAGAGGGAGUAGGCCUCCUGUGGCCAGAGUCUGUCCCAGGCCAAAGACGCUGACCAGGAGGGCAGCGAGUCCCCUCCAGCUGUGCUCUCAGAAGCGUGGGGUGCGGUCCCCGAGACAAGUGAGCUCCAGACCUGCGCUCAUGUCCUGCCUCUAUCACACUGGCACAGGCCCUUCCCCAAAAGUGCCUGUGGCUGCCAUGAGCCUGUGUCCUCCUUUGCAACCGCAGAUAGAAAUAAGCAGCUUAAAGACCUGUUGCAAAGAUUCAAUGAGAUGUGUGAAGCAAUCGGUGCCAGCAGGCACUGAACAUGGUGCUUAUAAUCUGCAUACUUCAACACAGAGGCGCAUGGAGAUGACCACCUCCAACAGGAAAGGGAAAGAAAGAUGAUAGGGAGCCGAGGACAAGAAGUCAGCUGAUUUCAACCGUGCCUACGCCUUACACGAUUAGGCUUUACGUCUAGAAGGGCUUGAUGCAAACUCUGUGCAGUUCACAGAGGCAGGACGGAAGAGGACGUAGGAGGGUGGCCCUCCCUCGCUUUAGAUGAACGAGUGCAAACGUCGUAGCGAGUUGCCAUGCAGAGGCCAGUGUAGGCUGCACGUUCCUCGGGCCACAAAGCUAUGGCCCUGGGCUCCACGACUAAGCGAGAGGGGCCUUUUAAGAACAGCAGUCCAGGGUCACUGGCACCUCCCAGUGGCUGGGUCAUUCUAUUUUUUUCCUGGUCCUUCUCUAAACUCUCAACUUCUCCGUUGUAGAAUCUCGCUGAGUUGACCUCUGACUUCAGGCUUAUUUCCAGAAGUGUUCAGACUCUCCGUUCUGAAAGUCUCUUUCUUUAAAGUAAAUAUUUCAUUCCUCCU
ensembl:lncRNA